rnacentral:rRNA from 1 species
GAUGAACGCUGGCGGCGUGCCUAAUACAUGCAAGUCGAGCGAACAGACGAGGAGCUUGCUCCUCUGACGUUAGCGGCGGACGGGUGAGUAACACGUGGAUAACCUACCUAUAAGACUGGGAUAAAUUCGGGAAACCGGAGCUAAUACCGGAUAAUAUAUUGAACCGCAUGGUUCAAUAGUGAAAGAUGGUUUUGCUGUCACUUAUAGAUGGAUCCGCGCCGCAUUAGCUAGUUGGUAAGGUAACGGCUUACCAAGGCAACGAUGCGUAGCCGACCUGAGAGGGUGAUCGGCCACACUGGAACUGAGACACGGUCCAGACUCCUACGGGAGGCAGCAGUAGGGAAUCUUCCGCAAUGGGCGAAAGCUUGACGGAGCAACGCCGCGUGAGUGAUGAAGGUCUUCGGAUCGUAAAACUCUGUUAUUAGGGAAGAACAAAUGUGUAAGUAACUAUGCACGUCUUGACGGUACCUAAUCAGAAAGCCACGGCUAACUACGUG